AAUUAUUGAAUUAUUGAAAGAAAAUAUGAGAAAGGGGACUUCAAAAAGGGUACACUUGUUUUAUUUUAUUUUAUUUUUUUUUUUUAAUUUUUUUUUUUUUUUGAGUUUUGAAAUAUCAUUAGGAACUUUUUCUCCAUGAAAAGGGGGAACUUUGAGUUAUUUUUCAUUAAAAUUGGUUGGUUGAAAAAAUGGGCUCAAAAUAUGAUUUUGAAGAGAAAGAUUUCUCAUAUUUCAAUACAAUACUUUCUCACACAACUUCAAGAAUAAUAAAAAUAAGAAGUAAAUAAAAUAUAAUUGUAUAUCUUUAACGUUUUCAAAUGUAAUUCUUAUUUGGUUGUAUGAUAAUAUUGCAUGAGCUGUUUAAAUGUAUCACUAAUUGUUUUUGAUCGCGUUACAAGCCCUGAGACCAUCUUCAAGGUGAAAGAAUUCAGUUUUUGGUCAUUUCUUAAAACUUGUCUAAAAAAAUAUGUGUACCUUUGAAAGUCCCCGCUCAUAUCAAAUAGAUCAAUUCAAAUAUAUUGAAAAGCAAUAUUUGUUUUAUGCCAAUUUUUUAAACAACUGUAUAACA
rnacentral:ribozyme from 12 species